GGCAUCUACUGUACUUCUUUUCUUUCUGUUUAGGUUAACAUGGAAGAAAUAGUCAUACAAUAGUCAUUGUAUGGUUGGGACAAAGUGACACUCACUAAUAACCCUGUUGGAGAGAUGGAGCUAGAUUGGAGUGCUGAUAGUCCAGGACUCCGAUAUGAAAUGUGGAGAGAGGAAUCCGAGUCUACCAAGAUGUCUUCUGAACUCUACAUGCCUGCUGUGGCAUGCAUUCCUGCACACCACACACACACACACACCCCACAUUCAAACAUUCCCUAGUUGUCCCAGAUCUUUCCUCUUUGCCAUGGCAAGGUGGAUGAGGGAAAGAAUCAGCAACCCUUGUUCUUAGCUAACGGCAGGCCACUAGAGCUGACCAAGAAAUAAUGAGCAAAGAAUGAAAUACAGUACAUUACUAAUUGUUCCAAAACUUGGUGGGAAAUUGCCAUAUAACUCAAGAAGAUAAAUGUCUCUUGGAAUUGUUUUGCUUGGAGAAGCCAUAAAGAAGCAAAAUAGGAUGGCAUCAGACUACAGAGAACAGGAGCCUGUCAUCAGAGGGUUCAUCCAGCCACUAAGGGAAACAGAUGCAAAGACCCAUAGCCAAACACUAGGCAGACCUCAGUGUGUCUUGUGGAAGGGUCAGGGGAAGGAUUAAUGGAGCUGGAACAGUCAAGGACACCACAAGAAGACAUACAGAGUCAGAGUCCUUCUGUGCCAUCUUGAAGAGGACCAGUACGUCGUCCAGACACUGUUGUUGGUACUUCACCCCAAAUUUCCAAGUUUUGUAUUCCCCUUUUGCUAUGUAUGAUCUUAUCAGUUGGAAGGAAAAGCUGGCCACAAGCUG
rnacentral:lncRNA from 1 species